CAGGAAGCGUGGCUUGUCGCUCUUUGCCUCGGCAAAGGGAGGAAAGUCCGGACACCACAGAGCAGCAAAGCGGGUAACACCCGUCAUCCGCGUCCUUGAGGCGGAGAGGACCAGUGCAACAGAAAGGAUGUAUAUUAAGUUAUAGUGAAAUCAGGUAAACUCUUUGCGGUGCAAUGCUAAGUAUAUCGGACUGCCCGGUUCGCCAGGCUAGGAGUGGCUCGCUCCAAAAACCGAGGGGUAAGCAGCUACAUCCCGUUGGUAACAACGGGGGCAGAUAAAUGACAGGCAACCGGCUCCGGCCGGCCUACAGAAUCCGGCUUACAGCGCUUCCUGUGGU
rnacentral:RNase_P_RNA from 1 species